rnacentral:rRNA from 1 species
CGGGGUGCAGCAGGCGCGAAAACUUUACAAUGCGGGAAACCGUGAUAAGGGGACACCGAGUGCCAGCAUCAUAUGCUGGCUGUCCAGGUGUGUAAACUACACCUGUUAGCAAGGGCCGGGCAAGACCGGUGCCAGCCGCCGCGGUAACACCGGCGGCCCGAGUGGUGAUCGUGAUUAUUGGGUCUAAAGGGUCCGUAGCCGGUUUGGUCAGUCCUCCGGGAAAUCUGACGGCUCAACCGUUAGGCUUUCGGGGGAUACUGCCAGGCUUGGAACCGGGAGAGGUAAGAGGUACUACAGGGGUAGGAGUGAAAUCUUGUAAUCCCUGUGGGACCACCUGUGGCGAAGGCGUCUUACCAGAACGGGUUCGACGGUGAGGGACGAAAGCUGGGGGCACGAACCGGAUUAGAUACCCGGGUAGUCCCAGCCGUAAACGAUGCUCGCUAGGUGUCAGGCAUGGCGCGACCGUGUCUGGUGCCGCAGGGAAGCCGUGAAGCGAGCCACCUGGGAAGU